rnacentral:misc_RNA from 1 species
GAUGAAGAACGUAGCGAAAUGCGAUAAGUAAUGUGAAUUGCAGAAUUCAGUGAGUCAUCGAAUCUUUGAACGCACAUUGCGCCCGCCAGUAUUCUGGCGGGCAUGCCUGUUCGAGCGUCAUUUCAACCAUCAAGCCCCCCGGCUUGUGUUGGGGACCUGCGGCUGCCGCAGGCCCUGAAAAGCAGUGGCGGGCUCGCUGUCACACCGAGCGUAGUAGAUCUCAUCUCGCUCAGGGCGUGCUGCGGGUUCCGGCCGUUAAACCACCUUCAUAACCCAAGGUUGACCUCGGAUCAGGUAGGAAGACCCGCUGAACUUAAGCAUAUCAAUAAGCGGAGGA